rnacentral:rRNA from 1 species
AUACGUAGGGGGCAAGCGUUAUCCGGAAUGAUUGGGCGUAAAGGGCGCGUAGGCGGCUUUGCAAGUCAGUAGUGGAAGUCCAUUUUUCAAGGAUGGAAGUGCUACAGAAACUGCGGAGCUUGAGUGCAGGAGAGGUUAUCGGAAUUCCCGGUGUAGCGGUGAAAUGCGUAGAGAUCGGGAGGAACACCAGUGGCGCAGGCGGGUAACUGGACUGCAACUGACGCUGAGGCGCGAAAGUGUGGGGAGCAAACAGGAUUAGAUACCCCGGUAGUCCACGCUGUAAACGAUGAAUACUAGGUGUGGGGGGACUGACCCCCUCCGUGCCGCAGUUAACACAAUAAGUAUUCCACCUGGGGAGUACGAUCGCAAGAUGGAAACUCAAAGGAAUUGACGGGG